AAAUCUAUGGUCCGAUUGGUGAUUGUAUGCUGUUCGCGCGCCACACAUCAAUCGAUUGCUAUCGAGUUACAUUGAUCUGUACAACAAAUUUUCAUUUCGAUCUUUACGACAGUAAAUAAAGAACGUCAUCGGUGGAAAAGCCACGAGCAGACAGACAAACCGGCUCCGUCAGAACGUCUCUCUGUCGCCAGAUGGCUUCAUUAUUCCCGGUCGCGGUUGUGUAGUUUGCUUUGAUGUCUCCGAUACAAGUAUAAAAAUGUAAAUUUUUCUAAUAAAAAUCGCAGAAUUAAAGAUGAAAUUGCAUCUUGCUUCCAUGGUGAAUACUGAAUAUCCAGAAGAAGAUCCACAACAAUUUCAGAAUAGUUUAACUACUAUGAUAACAGAUAAUUUACCAUCCCCUCUUCUAAAUGAUUCUGAUAUGCCACAAGCAAGAGCAUUUACAGAUGUUUCAAUUAAAAGUAUUACUGUUGUUAUUGGAUCUAUGGCAG